rnacentral:lncRNA from 1 species
CAUUUUUAUACGCCCGUCGUCUUUUAGACGGGACGUAUUAUGGUAUACCGUUGUCCGUCCGUCCGUCUGUCGUCCACACUUUGGACAAUAACUCAAAAACACUUUCACCAAUUUCCAUGAAACUUAAGUGAAUUGUUUAUAUCUAUUGACGUAAGCUCCCUUUCGUUUUUUUUUAAUUUCAGAUUUUAAGUUUUGGAUUUAUGGGGCUUUAUUCAUAAAAAAGGGGGGAUUUUCAACACUUCGGACAAUAACUCAAAAAGGCUUUCACCAAUGUCCAUGAAACUUUGGUGAAUUGUUUAUAUCUAUUGAUGUAAGCUCCCUUUCAAUUUUUUAUAAAUUUCAGAUUUUAAGUUUUGGAUUUAUGGGGCUUUAUUCAUAAAAAAAGGGGGAUUUUUAACACUUCGGACAAUAACUCUAAAAAGCUUUCACCAAUGUCCAUGAAACUUUGGUGAAUUGUUUAUAUCUAUUGAUGUAAGCUCCCUUUCAAUUUUUAUAAAUUUCAGAUUUAAAGUUUUGCAUUUAUGGGGCUUUAUUCAUAAAAAAAGGGGGAUUUUCAACACUUCGGACAAUAACUCAAAAAGGCUUUCACCAAUGUCCAUGAAACUUUGGUGAAUUGUUUAUAUCUAUUGAUGUAAGCUCCCUUUCAAUUUUUAUAAAUUUCAGAUUUUAAGUUUUGGAUUUAUGGGGGCUUUAUUCAUAAAAAAGGGAGAUUUUCAACACUUCGGACAAUAACUCAAAAAGGC